rnacentral:misc_RNA from 1 species
GUUCAAAUCCCUGCAUCGGUUAAUGUGUUAUCUCAAUCACCUGCGACAAUCAGAAUCAGCUCAACAGAUACUAAGCGGUAUCAUAAUUCAAAGGAUAAAUUCGUCCACUUAUUGUAUGAAGACUUGAUCCAAGCUUUUUUUACAAACUUGCAAGGAACUGAGAAAUCGUGCUUAGAUAAUGGACAUGUUAAAAUUAAAUUUCCCAACAAUAACACUUACAUUGGUCAAGUGAAUUGCAAGCAGAUGGACGGGGAUGGUGAAUAUCGAUGGGCAUUCGGACAAACUUACAAGGUUUUGCUGAAACCUUGGUAAUUGUUUCACUUUGAAAAACUUUGUGACAACAGUAAUCUCGUAAUUACUUUAGGGACAAUUAGAACAAAAUUCGAUCCAAGGUAAAGGACGAAUUGAAUGGAAUGAC